GAAUGCUCGGGGUAUGCCUAACACAUGCUAGUUUAAAGAAAAUAAAUUUAUUUUAUAAUCUUAGCGCAUAGGUGAGUAAAAUGUAAGAACCAGCCUAUAAAUAGUAUACUAAAUAUUUAAGUAUCACUAAGAUAUAUGGGUUGAUAUAAAUAAUAUAUUAUGUUUUUUUGUUAAUUUUUAUAUUUUUUCGGAUUUAUAAAAACCUUUAAAACUAAUAUAUACAAAAAUAUUUAUAUUUAAUGUGUAUAUUAUUAUAUAUUUAAAUAAAAUAAUAUUCUAUAAAAUUUUUAAAAUUAAAGUAAUUUUAAAAUAUAUAAAAGAUUUACUUAUCGUUUAUAGACGGGCUUACAAAGGAUUUAGAUAGUUGGUAAGGUAAUAGCUUACCAAGUCGAUUAUCCUUAGCUGGUUUGGGAGAAUGAUCAGCCACAUUGGGUCUGAAACAACACCCCAACUAUCGAAGUGAUGGCAGCAGUGGGG
rnacentral:rRNA from 1 species